GAUGAACGCUGGCGGCGUGCCUAAUACAUGCAAGUCGAGCGGACAGACGAGGAGCUUGCUGCUCGCACGUGAGCGGCGGACGGGUGAGUAACACGAGGAUAACCUACCUAUAAGACUGGGAUAACUUCGGGAAAGCGGAUCUAACACCGGAUAAGAUAUUGAACCGCGGGGUUCAAUAGGGAAAGACGGUUUUGCGGGCACGUAUAGAGGUAUCCGCGCCGGAUUAGCUAGUUGGUAAGGUAACGGCUUACCAAGGCAACGAUGCGUAGCCGACCUGAGAGGGUGAUCGGCCACACUGGAACUGAGACACGGUCCAGACUCCUACGGGAGGCAGCAGUAGGGAAUCUUCCGCAAUGGGCGAAAGCCUGACGGAGCAACGCCGCGUGAGUGAUGAAGGUCUUCGGAUCGUAAAACUCUGUUAUUAGGGAAGAACAGAUGUGUAAGUAAAUAUGCACGUCUUGACGGUACCUAAUCAGAAAGCAACGGCUAACUACGUG
rnacentral:rRNA from 1 species